CGCGGGCUCAGUGGCCCGCGCCUCCAGCCCUGUCACUCACAGCUCCCGCAGUGUGGUUUCGGGUUUGCUUGUAUCUGGGCUCGCAAUGGAACAUCCAGGCAACGAUUAAGUCAGUGGCAAGAUGACAACUAAGAGACACCCAAAGGGAGAGAAGCCCAGCCUCCUUCAUGAAGGUGUUGCUGGAGGAAUUUAUGAGACUUAGAAGAACACAUGAAGCUGGGAAAUAGUAGCGUGUGCCUUUAAUCCCAGCACCCAGGCGGUAGAGGCAUUGUAGAUCUCUGUAAGUUCAAAGCCAGCCUGGUGUACAAGGAGAAUGACUCACUAGCAGAAGCCCUUGCUGUGCAAGCAUGCUGAUUUUAGUUUGCUCUUCAGAGUCCAUCCAUCAUAGAAGAAGAGAACUGACUCCAGGAAGUUGUCUUCCAACUCCCACAAGAGUUCUGUAGCACACGUGCACCUUCAUGCUGUGAUCUUGCAUGCACACAGCAUAAACUAUUUAGUGUGACUUGUAUGUAUAUAAUUUCAGGCCUGUCCACUUGGUAUUGAAGACCAAUUGUGUGUGUGUGUGUGGGGGGGGGGG
rnacentral:lncRNA from 1 species